GACGAACGCUGGCGGCGUGCUUAACACAUGCAAGUCGAACGAGAAUCUGCGGAAAGAGGAUUCGUCCAAUUGAAGCAGAGGACAGUGGCGGACGGGUGAGUAACGCGUGAGGAACCUGCCUUUCAGAGGGGGACAACAGAUGGAAACGACUGCUAAUACCGCAUGACACAUCGGAGUCGCAUGGCUCUGAUGUCAAAGAUUUAUCGCUGAAAGAUGGCCUCGCGUCUGAUUAGCUAGUUGGUGAGGUAACGGCCACCAAGGCGACGAUUGGUAGCCGGACUGAGAGGUUGAACGGCCACAUUGGGACUGAGACACGGCCCAGACUCCUAUGGGAGGCAGCAGUGGGGGAUAUUGCACAAUGGGGGGAAACCCUGAUGCAGCGACGCCGCGUGGAGGAAGAAGGUUUUCGGAUUGUAAACUCCUGUCGUUAGGGACGAUAAUGACGGUACCUAACAAGAAAGCACCGGCUAACUACGUGCCAGCA
rnacentral:rRNA from 1 species